UACUAUUACAUAUUACCCCAGGCCUGACUGUGUCACCAUUAAGCAAUAUAUAUUAUUCAAGAACCUUUAGUAUUAUGGAUCACUUGUCUCUGUCUCUCUCAAGCUUAUGCUUCAGUACUGACGUCAUCAAGUAUUUCAUUGAAUCCAAUUCAAGUUUCAAGCUAUGAAGUAUCAAGAGCAAAGGACUAUUAUAUGCAUGACCAAACAUUGUUGUAUUGUUGUGUGUUAUUUAUUUCUUUAAA